ensembl:lncRNA
AAUCUAAUACUUGGCACACAUGAACUUUUCCACAGAAAAGAAAAUCAUGGACUCAGAGAACAGACUUGUGGUUGCCUAGGGGGAGGGGAAGGGAAUGGGAUGGACUGGGAAUCUGGGGUUAAUAGAUGCAAACUAUGGCAUUUGGAGUGGGCAAGCAAUGAGGUCCUGCUGUACCGCACAGGGAACUAUAGUCACUUGUGGUGGAGCAGGAAGGAGGAUAAUGUGAGAAAAAGAAUGUACAUAUAUGUGUGACUGGGUCGCUUUGCUGUACAGUCAAAAUUGACAGAACACUGUAAAUCAACUAUAAUGGAAAAAAUAAAAAUCCUAAAAAAACCUCCCCACAUGAUUCCAGUGUGAACCCUGACUGGGAAUCAGAGUUCCAGAAGGAGUGCUCUCACCAAAUCAAAAAAUAUUCAAAACCACAGGUAUGUAAAGAAAAAACACAGAUGGCAGGUUAUUCACUCCUGCUGAGAAAAGAGCAGUUUUCACAAAGGACUAGCCGACGUGCAGAGUUACAGACAGAUAUCAGCCAUUGUCAAGGUCUGGAUAAGGCUGUUUGGCAAGGAAUUAGGGAGUUCCAGCACCUGGCUUAAGAUCUCAUUUAGUGGGGACUAGAUGGCGACAGGGGGACCCUGAUAAUGCUCAUGGCAGUCUGCUCCCCCCGUCCCUGGCCUGUUCCGGGGGAAAUACAUACUCACAAAGCAGAGCAAGAGGUCAGCUUUACUUUUUCAUAAGGAAAUAGGUGACGCUCAUAUUUAAUGUCCCUCUCAACUUCAAAACCACUCCCAAGAAGUGACCACCGAUAUUGUAGAUGUAAUGCUGUGCUUAUACAGAUUACACACACACACACACACCACACUACAACACAGGCAUACACAUAACACUUGCACACACAAGCCUACACACACACACACACACACACACACACACUUGGGACUUUCACUGAGCACUUUAUUGUGGCCUUCCUCCCGUGUCAGGACAUCAGAUUUAUCUCAUUUUUAACAGAUGCAUAGUUCUCUUGUCCUGUAUAUAAUGGAUUAUUUGGAUAUUCAAAUAAUCAAUUUACAAUUGUUAGUAAAAUCUUCCCUCACUUUUUCCAUUUCAUAUAAUACUGCAAUAAACUCACUUGUUUGUUUUUUUGUUUGUUUGUUUGUUUGUUUGUCCUUUUUGCUAUUUCUUGGGCCGCUCCCGCGGCAUAUAGAGGUUCCCAGGUCGAAUCGGAGCUGUAACCACCGGCCUACGCCAGAGCCACAACAACGCGGGAUCCGAGCGGCGUCUGCAACCUACACCACAGCUCACGGCAACGCCAGAUCGUUAACCCACUGAGCAAGGGCAGGGACCGAACCCACAACCUCAUGGUUCAUGAUCGGAUUAGUUAACCACUGCUCCAAGAUGGGAACUCCCCACUUGUUUGUUGAUCGUUAGCUUUUUAGCAAACACAGUUCGAGGAGAGAGUCCUCGAGGUGUGAGCGCUAUGUUCAAAAGCAGACACUGUCCAAUCGCCCUCCAAAUGCCUGCAGCCAAUGACAUUUCUCCAAAUAAUACAAAGCGCCUGUUUCCCACACUCUCUUCAAGGCUGGUCUUUCUGUUUUUUACUGGCUCACUUAGGGGGUGUGUACAAGGCUCUGCGAAUAACGAAAUGCAGUUCCGAGGCGAGGUAUUCCGACCAGUGACUUGGCUGAAAGGACCCGCAUCAAAAGUAGCUGCCAGCCUCUGAGGCCAGCACAGUCAGACAGAGGCUUCUGUUCUGUGUCAGGUUGUUUUCUGUAAAUACUGCUUUCGGGCUUAGAACCUAAUUUCUUAGGCCAUGAUGUCAGUCUUCCAGGGUAACAGGGCUGUAAAUAAGGAGUGAGAGGGAGGGACCCUCUGGCAGAGGCAGCUGUCCUUAUCCUCAGAGCUUUUCUGCAAAAGAACUGCCCAGCACAGCAGACAGGCCCACUGGGGCCACCUGCAACGGUAGUUUGCGUGCACCCGGCAGGGAGAGCUCUGGGAGGGCGUCCCAUCUGCUCUGUCUUCAGUCUUUAUUCCAUCUCCUUUCCAGGACCUCCGAGACGUCUCACUUUCACCAUUCAUUCGGGGCGCUGGGAGGCGGAGGCCUCAGCAUUUCCUAACUUAUUUUUUUAUGAAGCACUCGCCUCACCCAGUAGACUGAGAGUGUGCUCCCCGUUGACCUCGGCUCAGAAAGAAGGGAAGUCCGAUGCUAAGUUCCUCUUCCUCUACCACGGGCUCCACGCACCCCAAGACCCCCCGGGAGGUCCCGAUCCUCCUUCAGAACCGGAGCACAAGGACCGUCUUUCAUGCUCUUUUCUUGGUAGAACCUGACCUGUUGCAGAGCCAAGCACCCCGCCUCUGUCUUGGGCACGUGACAGUCAGCCCUCGGGAACUUAGGUCCAGCCCAGUAAUGGACUUGUUGGCAUCCCCUCAUCUCCCAGUUAUGAAUUCCUUGGGUCCCGUGUGUCUCUACGUUCCAGUUGGUAGCACCGAACGAGUCUGCUGAAUGGAUUUUCCCUUAGUUUGAAUCCCUGCCUGGUUUGGCCAUAAGAAAACAAAUACCAUUCACGGGGUGUGUGACAUAGACGCUGGUGCUCCCCAAUUAUUCCAUGAGAUCCUGCAUAUUUUCCAGCCUUCCUGGCACUUAGCAUGGGGCCAGGUGACGAAUUCAAGUUCACGGGCACAAGGGGGAGUGAAGCAAUGCACAGCAUUUGCCACCCGAGGACACCGAGGAGGUUGAAAGCUGCACGCAUCUGCCGCGGUGGCUGGAAGCAAAGAACACUGAGACGGCGAAGGGGCCACAGAGAGCAUCUCUAAUGCGCACCACUGCUGAAAGGCGGCCACCAGAGAGGACAGGCUGAGCUGUAUCGGACUGCUCCGAAAGUGACAAAUAAGCCUCUGGCUUUGGAGGUUUGCUGCCACAGCAAAACUUAGCUUUGCCCUGACCAACCACGGGUGAGUUUCACAAGCUGAAAGUGUAAGGAGGAGACAAGCUUGUGGAAUAUGACAGCAUCACUGGCUAGCAACAUCUUCUGAUAUCCUGGAAUUAGUCGGGAUGGGCCAUGGAUCUGGAUCUGAAACUUUUAAAUCGAAAUGGGGACAAGAGCAUCCCUAUGACGUCAUUGGAGAAUCUGAGGCAUAGAGAAGCGAAGGGAUGGGCUUCUCGGAUUAGGAGUGAGCGAAGCAUGAGAAGAGAGACCUCAAUUUCCCCUGGGCUGUUUCCCACCCUUCCUAGUUGGGAUUUCUCCUCCCCCAGCAUUUGUGCCCUUUGGGUUAGUAUUCUAGGCAUGAGACUGACCUAUUUCGAAGUGGGACAGGUUGGCAUCUCUAAAGCGGGUUCCACAGAAGACUCUGUUUUGAAGCAACAUGGUGGUAAAGAGGUUAACAUUGAAUGGGAGUUUUACUUCCAGGCAGGGAUCUCGAGCCCUGGCGGAAAGACUGCAGCUGCCCUGUGGCCCAGAUAAUGCAACAUCGGGCUGAGCAAGGACAUCUGAGAACAUUCUGUUCUCCUCCCCCGAGACCAAUUAAAAUCUGGAGGCAUCUUUCUUGUUGAUCGAGCUGACUAACUAAUUGAAACGGAAUUGUGAUAUUUUCAUCAGCUUUCUCUUAUCCCUCUUGGCCUUGCCAGCAGAGAGCAAGCUGAAUGAUCAGAGAGUUUCAAGCAUGUGAGGCCCAGGGAACGGAACCCCUCCCACCGUAAACCACUACAUUACCACGGAACAAGGUUCGAAAAAGGAUGAUGCGGGGUUGGGAGUAGGGCGAUACGCUCAAAUCUCAGUCUCAGUUCAUCCAGAUACCAAAGAUACCAUCUUCGGGAUUCCUGAUGAACCAUAACGCUGUCCUUCAGCAGUUGCUGCUCCAAUAAACCAGCUUCUGACCUCUGCCUUCCUAACGAACAUCCCUCUGCCUGACUGGGGAAGCUCCUAGAAACAAAGAACCAAACGCCUCUGAGGCCCAACAAGAUCCCUUUCCUUCCAUUGAGCUAGAAUGUAUUUCCUCGGCACGUGCAAAUGGCCUAGUGGUUAAUCUUAGCAAUUGUCCCAAAGGACAUCCAAGCCUCUGAGAGUGGGUUACACGAUUGAGAUUGCAGGACCUUUUUCUGCUUCAGCAUGAAGACCUGCAUGUUAGCAUUUGUGAGGAGAGCUCAAGAUGGGGGGAAGUCCUCUUGGCUCCUGAUCUAAGGAAGAGCUGCGUUUUGAAGCAUUGGUAGAAUUGCUCACGUGUCCAGUGUGAGGUGGCCUUGGCUGACAAGCUAUCAAAAUAAAUAAAUAACAAGAAAAUUAAAUAAAAACCCUCUUGGACAAUGACUUUAGCCUCAGGACCUAUUUCUGAGUUUUCUAAAUGGGAAUCCAUGGCUGGAGCAUGGUUGGGAAAAGCUGUUUGAGUCCUGACGCCACCUUUCACCGCAAUGGCAGGAAGGGGUACCAGUACCCAGAUAUGAGCCUCGCGGGAGAGCAGGGGUGACAGAGGCGAAGUGUCCUAGGGGUCUCCAGGACCAGGACUGGAGGAGACACUCCCACACAGGCUGUCAGAAUGGCCCAAUCCAGCCUCAAAGUGUAAGAGCCUGAACCUCUAGGUCUGAGAUCUGCUGCUCCUUCCAUCACUGUAUUACCUGGGGACCUUGGGAUAAUAAACUGGCUUCUGGGUGCAUCUCAGCUGAGCAAGGGAGCGGGAACAAGACGGUUAUACAGCUGCUGGCGAGAGGGACAUGCAGGAGUGUCAGAGGAUUUCUUCUUAUAAAUGACAGAUAGACUUUUGUCCUGUGUCCUCUCUCCGUAUAGGCUAGUUUGGAUGUCCUCAAAAACAUCUUGCCCUCGGAGUUCCCGUCCUGGCACAGUGGUUAACGACUCCAACUAGGAACCAUGAGGUUGUGGGUUCGAUCCCUGGCCUCACUCCGGGCGUUAAGGAUCCGGCGUUGCCGUGAGCUUGUAAAUAAAGGUCAAAGACGCAGCUCAGAUCUUCCAUGCUUAUGGCUGCAGUGUAAGCCGGCAGCUACAGCUCCGAUCUGAUCCCUAGCCUGGGAACCUCCAUGUGCCGCAGGUGCAGACCUAAAAAGACAAAGAGACCAAAAAAAAAAAAAAAAAAAGUCUUGCUCUAAACAUCCUUCAAGUCUUUCUGUGGCAACAAACCCCUCCAGGUGAUGACGAAAUGAAUGUUUCCCCCUUAAUUUGAGAAUAAGGGGAAAAUGUUCAGUCUUGUCAUUUCUAUUCAUCUUUGAACUGGAAGCCCUAGCCAGCUUAAUCCGGGGAGACAAAGAAACAAAAGCUUGCAAUUGUAAAUGAAGAAGAAAAUGUCCCUGUGUUGUCGACAACCCAAUCAUCUACAGAGAUAAUCACAGAGUCCAGGACAUAUGAUCUUUGGUUUUCAAAAAUGGCGCAAAUGCAUAAUUUUUAUAACAAAUGAUGCCGGAACAACUGACUAGUUACAUAUUCUUUAAAAAAUGAACCUUGACCUUUACCUUAAUAAUAUACAAAAAUUAACUCAAAAUGAAUCUCAAACUUAAAGUUGAAGCUAUUAAACAUCUAGAAGAAAAUAGAGGGAAGACUCUUCGGAUUAGUCAGAGAUUUAUUAAAUACGAUAUAUAAAGUAUAAACUAUAAGACACUUAACUUUAUCAAAAUCAAACACUUUGCUUUUGAAAAAUACUUAGUAAAGUGAAAAGGUAAGCCAGAGACAGAGAAAAAUAUUUGCAAAAUAUACAUCUAAUUAAAAUCUGGUAUCCAGGAGUUCCCAUCAUGGUCCAGCAGAAACGAAUCUGACUGGCAUCCAUGAGGACGCAGGUACGACCCCUGGCCUCGCUCAGUGAGUUAAGGAUCUGGUGUUGCCAUGAGCUGUGGUGUAGGUCACAGAUGUGGCCCAGAUCCUGAGUUGCAGCAGCUGUGGUGUAGGCCAGCGUCUACAGCUCCAACAGGACCCGUAGCCUGGGAACCUCCAUAUGCUGCAGGUGCGGCCC